rnacentral:rRNA from 1 species
UACGUAGGGCGCAAGCGUAUCCGGAAUUAUUGGGCGUAAAGAGCUCGUAGGCGGUUUGUCGCGUCUGCCGUGAAAGCCCGGAGCUCAACUCCGGGUCUGCAGUCGAUACGGGCAGACUUGAGUGUUGCAGGGGAGACUGGAAUUCCUGGUGUAGCGGUGAAAUGCGCAGAUAUCAGGAGGGACACCAAUGGCGAAGGCAGAUCUCUGGGCCGUAACUGACGCUGAGGAGCGAAAGCAUGGGGAGCGAACAGG